UACAGAGGGGGCUAGCGUCGUUCGGAAUUACUGGGCGUAAAGGGCUCGUAGGCGGCCAACUAAGUCAUACGUGAAAUCCCUCAGCUUAACUGGGGAACUGCGUGUGAUACUGGAUGGCUUGGAUUUGGGAGAGGGAUGCGGAAUUCCAGGUGUAGCGGUGAAAUGCGUAGAUAUCUGGAGGAAUACCGGUGGCGAAGGCGGCAUCCUGGACCGACAUUGACGCUGAGGAGCGAAAGCCAGGGGAGCGAACAGG
rnacentral:rRNA from 1 species